rnacentral:lncRNA from 1 species
GUGUUUGGGAGUGUGGUGUGUUCCGUUGAGGUGUGACCAGAGCACCUUUAUAACUUAAGUGUCUUAGCUUGCAGGAUAGCAUAUGGCCCAUAGAUUACUUUAGUACCACAGGGUAAUGUAGCACCUGUAAACACACAAACCUCUUCAGUGUAAAAUGUAAUCACUUUACCAUACAUAACAUGACAUAAGGUAAUUUAACCAAAUUGAAGUGUUUAACCAAAGACUCAGUAAAGGGUAUUUCAAAAGAGGACCGCAACAUCCAUAUGCUGAUAACGUUGUUGAUUAUGACGUACAGCCACUAUGCUGUCAUAAAUGCGUUAAACUCUGCGGUCUACGCGUAAACUAAACUAUGAUUUUAUAACUCAUACUGUAACUUGCAGGCAGCAUGUGUUAUGCCGCGUUCAUGUGCUAGUCUUAUCUAGGAAACUCGUACAUUCCCGCCUUGCUAACUGAAUGAAUGCGGCAUGUGUGUGACUACAAACAGUUAGCAAGUCUGAAAUUUCAGAGUUUCCUUGUUUUGACUAGUUAAUAAACGCGGCAUUACAUUGAGCGGUGACUUCUCUACAGAAGGGCUUCACGGUGACGUCACACCAAACCAGCAAAUGACUUCCUUGGAGAUGACUGUCGCGUCCCGUCGUUAGGAACACUGCUGUGCGUGACACAGGCCGGCGAUUAAUCCAGGACAUAUAAGAGGUUUAGUUGGUAAUAGGCGUAAUGCCUCGAAAUGCAGUAGUUAUCGUGCGCUACGGCCCUUAUAAAUCAUGUGGCAUCGUGGAUCACAGAACGUUCCGUCUGAUUGGCCUCCAAGGAGGAGAUGGGAAACUGGACCCCCUAUGCAAGGAGGCCGUCAGUGCUGUGCAGAAUGCAUACUGAGAUACACCCACACUCUACCAGGAGAUUGGUCAAGGGGAUGAAUCUAAUCUAGUAGUAAACCUGAAGAGAAACACAGCAACAGACACUUUUUGUAUUUUUUUGAUGACAAGCAUUAUAGUACCAUACAAUAGUAUUCUCCAGCAUUAAGUCAAGUGUUGUUGUAUUUAUUGCUACAUAAUCUCGGAGACCCAGAAUCAAAUGUGCCGUGUAUGCUGGUCAUCUCAACAGUCUGUCGUGAGAGACUGCAACAUGCUAAUUGCGAAAUGUAGUCAUUAUAGUUUCUUAUGAUUUUUAUUUAGUGGUGAUUGACUGUGCUAUAGUUACUCUAUCAUUGUCAAUAUUGCCUCAGACAAUUUUGUGUCUGGUCCCUGUCUGAAAACAUACAUUACAAAAUCCAAAUAAUUCCCUUAACCUUUGGCAUACAACCAUUCUUAGAUCUGCUUCCUGUGGUCUCUCUCCUCAUCUGAAUAUGAUUACUUCUGCAAUCCAUUCUCAAUUAGCCUUAUGGGAGGGAUUGUGCACUAAUAGAAUCAUACCCCAUCGGUCAAACCACAGACCAAAUUAGCAGACCAAAUUUGCACUGCAAGCAAAAUCCAAACAGUCAUGCAAACACUGCCACACAGUCACAGUCUGGCCGCGUCCCAAAUGGCACCCUAUUCUCUAUGCGGUGCACUACUUUUGACCAGAGCCCUGGUCAAAAGUAGUGCACUCUUAAGGGAAUAGGGUGCCAUUUGGGACGCUACGUCUGAGGCUAGGCUCAAUGUCAGCUUCAAAGUUAACCAAAAACAUAUGGAGGUGCUUAUAGGGGUUCAUGGCACUUACCACAUUUCAUUUCAAUGCAAUCAAGCCCCCCCCACACACACACACACACAUAUAAAUACAGUACGCCUCCUACGUGAUUGUCCUCGAAACGUUAUUAAUGCUUUAUUACUAAAACAGCCAGCUUGGAGGACUUUCUUUUUGGAAGAAUAUCAGACAACCAAAAGAGAACCUUGUCCCCCAUCUUCUGAAAGAGCCGAGAUGAUUACCUCCGUUUCUUCCUGUGCGGCAUCAGUGUAUACAUCCCAAAUGUCACCCUAUUCCAUAUAUGGUGCACUACUUUUUACCAGAACAAGUAGAAGUAGUGCACUAUAUAGGGAAUAGGGUCCCAUUCGGGACGCAAUGUCUAGCACUGAAACAUAUUUAAGGGGGAGUAAACAAAAAGAAACAAACUGAAAUAUACUCUCUGUUUCUCUCCUCGCGCCUCCACCCUCCUAAACUAUUGCCUAAAGCUCCUGUUUUUAACAGCUCUUUAACAGUUUGCUAGAUUUUCAACCUGGCUAGGUGGAUAGCACAGUUAAUGUACCUGACAGCGAAGCUAUGGAAUUCAGAGAAAACAUCUGGGUGUCAAAUAAAAGCAAUUGUCAAA